rnacentral:rRNA from 1 species
GUGAAAUUCCGUCGGAAUCCGGGAGGACCAUCUCCCAAGGCUAAAUACUCCCUAGUGACCGAUAGUGAACCAGUACCGUGAGGGAAAGGUGAAAAGCACCCCGGAAGGGGAGUGAAACAGUUCCUGAAACCGUGUGCCUACAAGUAGUUAGAGCCCGUUAAUGGGUGAUAGCGUGCCUUUUGUAGAAUGAACCGGCGAGUUACGAUUUGUUGCAAGGUUAAGCGGAAAAAGCGGAGCCGUAGCGAAAGCGAGUCUGAAUAGGGCGCAUAAGUAACAGGUCGUAGACCCGAAACCAGGUGAUCUACCCAUGUCCAGGAUGAAGGUAAGGUAAUACUUACUGGAGGUCCGAACCCACGCACGUUGAAAAGUGCGGGGAUGAGGUGUGGGUAGCGGAGAAAUUCCAAUCGAACUUGGAGAUAGCUGGUUCUCUCCGAAAUAGCUUUAGGGCUAGCCUCGAGGUAAAGAGUCAUGGAGGUAGAGCACUGUUUGGACUAGGGGCCCUUCUCGGGUUACCGAAUUCAGAUAAACUCCGAAUGCCAUGUACUUAUACUCGGGAGUCAGACUGCGAGUGAUAAGAUCCGUAGUCGAAAGGGAAACAGCCCAGACCACCAGUUAAGGUCCCCAAAUAUAUGUUAAGUGGAAAAGGAUGUGGGGUUGCUUAGACAACCAGGAUGUUGGCUUAGAAGCAGCCACCAUUGAAAGAGUGCGUAAUAGCUCACUGGUCGAGUGACCCCGCGCCGAAAAUGUACCGGGGCUAAACAUAUUACCGAAACUGUGGAUGAACCUCUUUAGAGGUUCGUGGUAGGAGAGCGUUCUAAGGGCGGUGAAGUCAGACCGGAAGGACUGGUGGAGCGCUUAGAAGUGAGAAUGCCGGUAUGAGUAGCGAAAGAAGGGUGAGAAUCCCUUCCACCGAAUAUCUAAGGUUUCCUGAGGAAGGCUCGUCCGCUCAGGGUUAGUCGGGACCUAAGCCGAGGCCGAUAGGCGUAGGCGAUGGACAACAGGUAGAGAUUCCUGUACCAGUGCUAAUUGUUUAACCGAUGGGGUGACACAGAAGGAUAGGGAAUCGCACGAAUGGAAAUGUGCGUCCAAGCAGUGAGUGUGAGAAGUAGGCAAAUCCGCUUCUCGCGAAGCAUGAGCUGUGAUGGGGAAGGAAAUUAAGUACGGAAGUUCCUGAUUUCACGCUGUCAAGAAAAGCCUCUAGGAAGAGUAGUACUGCCCGUACCGCAAACCGACACAGGUAGAUGAGGAGAGAAUCCUAAGGUGAGCGAGAGAACUCUCGUUAAGGAACUCGGCAAAAUGACCCCGUAACUUCGGGAGAAGGGGUGCUCUAUUAGGGUGCAAGCCCGAGAGAGCCGCAGUGAAUAGGCCCAGGCGACUGUUUAGCAAAAACACAGGUCUCUGCAAAACCGUAAGGUGACGUAUAGGGGCUGACGCCUGCCCGG